ensembl:lincRNA
GCGGAGUAAACAAUGGCAGGGGCGGGGCUCGGCGAGGGGGUUCCGAGGCUGGAGCUGGGGAUCCCUGUCCCAGGCCUCUGGGAGAUGGGUCCGGACAAGGGAACUGAGCGGACUCCCGGGCCGCUCCCACGCGUGCACUUCCUGUCGCCGGCUGCCGGAGGAGAUGUCAAACACCUGCCGCGAUCCUGGAAGUUUAGCAGUUUAGCAGAAAUAGAAAUGCCCCUGUGGCAGACUUUGGACUGCAAUCCCUAUCCAAGUCGGCUGCUUAUAAGGGAGCCACUUUGACUCUUGAGAGUCCAGUUCCCAUCGGCCUUUCCACGGGCAUACAGGGGUGAGUCUGGUUCUCAACUCGAUUGUUCUCACACCGGAACCGGAACACAGAAGUCUCCCUUAACCUUCAGCACAUAUCGGUACUGCAAGGACCCAUCUGAACCCCGACGUGGGGAAAAUCAUCAGGGGAGCGUCCCUGCCAGACUCCUGUCAGGGCUAGGAGGCUCGAACCCCGGCCGAAGGAUGUUGGAGGACGUUGCCGGGCAACACGAUGUUU